rnacentral:tRNA from 1 species
AAUAUGGCUCAGUGGUAGAGUGCUCGCCUAGCAUGCAUGAAGCCCUGAGUUCAAUUCCUCAGUAUU